rnacentral:lncRNA from 1 species
UAGGCAGGAGCUCCAGGUCUACAGAAGGAAUGAAAAACUGAAAAACGAAAACCACCCAGAGUCAUGAAAAGACAUGAAAUGGAUAUAAAAAUAAUGCGGGGCAUUAUUUAAAUGCCGUCCUGAAGUCCAAAUAGAUCCUGCCUCCUUGGCAGAUGGAUGGAUGAUAUGAACAUCCACUCAAAAAGAAUAAAGAGAAACUAUGAGCCACAGAAGAACUCUUGACCUCAAAUGCUAGAAUUGUUGAUAUUGAUAACUACGUGUUAACAAGAGCAAACUAAGUUUAUUCUUAAAUAAUCAGGAACUAAAGGUUGGCAACUUAAAAAAGUAUUCUUAAUCCUUCCAUCUCGAUACAAUCACUAUUACCAUAUUGGUAUAGGCCUCUCCAGUUUUUCUUUUAUGUCUAUCUUAUCCAUCUGUCUGUCCAUUUAGCUAUAUACCUACUUUCUUACAUAUCGAUCUAUGACCCUUCUAUUUAUUCAUCCAUGAAUCCAUCUAGACUUUACUAAAACAAAACUAGGCUCAUUUGGUACUUGACAUUUUGUAACCUAAUUUUCUAACCAAUUUACUAUAAGAAUGCAGCGAUGUCUACCUAUUUUUAUCUCAGGUUCUAAUAGAUGUAUAACAUUCCUGUGAAAGUACCAGAGUUAGUAUUAUGAUUCUUCAAUUUCUUUUGUCUUUUGCCACUCAAAGAUACUUUGAUGAACAUUAGUAUUCUUUUUUUUUUUUUUUUUUUUGGUCCAAAGUUAUAGCAGACAGGCUUUCUCUAAUGCUGAUGUGGUUUCGGGUUGAUGGAGCAAAGCAUGUAUUUGAUACAGGGUCAUGUUUAAUCCUCUGACAUAAAUCAGCUGCCCCUUGGAGUGACAGCCCUUCAUCUCCCCUAGACCCCUCCUGCAGCAGCAAGGCGGGAUGGGGGUAAGGGGCUGCCACAGCACAGGUACAUUAGUGCAGCCGUCAGAAAGCAAUCCCAGGCCGUCUUUCGCUGACAUGCUUUGACAGCACCAGCCCUCCUGGCAUCUUCACGGUGCCGGUGAUUCAGAGCUGUCAGCUAACGCAGCUGUGAGAAAAUGUUGAUGAUAGAUUUGUGGCGUGUGGCAAUGACUUCGUGACCCACAGAUGGAAAAGCAGAUACCUUUGAAAUAAGACUAGUCAGCAAGGCAAGAGGAGAAGAGAGACUUACCUUAGACACUAAAACAGAACCCUUUCUGCUACUUCCUUGAAAUUCAAGUAUCCAAUGGCUCCCCACUACUUAGAGGAAAAAUACCAAACUUUUUAGUUGAACAAAGAGGUAAGUGAUGUAAUAGAAAGCGGACUGGCUUGAAAGCCAGAAGCCACAGAUUCUGGUUGUUGUUCUGCUCCCCACUUGUUGUAUGAUGUGGGCAAAUGGCUCUCUUCAUGGGUUUAGUUUUCUCCAUCACUAAAAUGAUCAUAUGGGAGUUCCUGUCAUGGCUCAGUGGUUAAUGACUCUGACUAGGAACCAUGAGGUUGCAGGUUCGAUCCCUGGCCUCACUCAGUGGGUUAAGGAUCCGGUGUUGCUGUGAGCUGUGGUGUAGGUCGUAGAUGUGGUGUGGAUCCCACUUGCUGUGGCUCUGGCAUGGGCCAGCAGCUACAGCUCCGAUUAGACCCCUAGUCUGGGAACCUCCAUAUGCCAUGUGUGUGGUCCUAGAAAUGGCAAAAAGACAAAAAUAAAUAAAUAAAUAAAUAAAAUGAUCAUACGUGGAAGAUGUGUGAAUGUCUGAGUAAAUGAGUCGGUAAAGAGUCAUGUGUCAUUUGAAAGUCAUGUCCUGAGGGGCUCCAAUGUCCUGAGGGUACACAGUUGAGUGAGAUAAACUAGCCCCUGACUUUGGAACUUAUAUGCUUAGAGGGGUUGGGAAUAGGGGGUCAGAAAUACAGUUAUCAACUAGACUGUCAAAGAGUGAUAAGUACUUUGUUGAAGAUAAAGUAGUGGGAUAGUAGAGAUUGGGUUGAGUUGGGUUGAUUGCGUUGGGUUGGGAUGAGUUGGGUGGUCAGGAGAUGGUGACCUGGUGGCUAAGGUUGGAAUGAGCAGAUAGAAAAAGUCACAGGUGGAGCUGAGAAGAAACAGUCCAGGCUGAGGGAAGCACUAUAAAAAGGCUUACUGGCAACGGUGAACUUGGUGUUCCACUAACUAAACACAUCCUUACUGUGUGUCUGUCUGCUCCAUCACAGGGAUGUAGGGAUGCACAGGAGAUGCCCAGGCUCUGCCCUCACUGGGCUGGAGGUGAAUUGGAAGAAGGUUAAACAGGUGAUUGUGAUAGACGGAUGAAUGGGCACUGGAAGGAGGAGAGGGAACUUGGAGUACUUUCAGGAAAAUGUGACAGGAGCCUCUAAUCUAGCCUGGUAAGGAGGAGGUGCCAUUGAAGCUGAGAACAGGUCCAGCAACAUAAACAUGAAACAAGCCAGCAUGGGACUGGGAUGUGAACCUACCAUCAGUCUACCCACCCAUGCUCAAUCUUUGGCCACACUGGGAUUCUGCUGGACCCCAAGUGAUGUCACAGGGAGUCUUUAUUCAUUUGGAGGAAGCCAGGAUAUUGCAGGAAAAAUACAUGAGAUUCAUGAAGGCAUCAAUAAAACAUCCAUGCUGUCAUGUGAGGACUUAUUUCAGGAAUUCUCAAACGUGGGCUCCCAUCAGAAUCCCCUAAAGGACUUGGUAAAACACAGUGUGCUGGGUCCUGUCCUUGGCUCCUGGUUUCUGAUUCAAGAUGCUUGCGUGGGGUCUGAGAAUUUGUAUUUCUAGCAAGUUCCCAGGUGAUGGAGCUGCUGCUGGUCUGAGAACCAUACUUCCAGAAGAACUGACUUAGAAGGGGUGCUUGAGUCUCUGAGUAGGACUUUUAGGGCCAGGGGGAUAUUUUCUAAGAGUUCUUCAAAGCUGGUGAGGGCAAAAGAAGGAACAGAAUUGGAGACAGCAGCUCCCAGGCCAGGGUAUCUGGAGGCCUUGCAGAAGGAUCCUCUCCAGCCAUUUCCCCUCCUGAGUUCUUGCAGCCAGUGGAUCCCAAAGAACACCACCACCUUGCUUUGGCAUUUGUGUUCUAACAUGUAAAUACACUUAGUGUUUUUCUUAUUUUUCUGAGAAAAAGGUAGCAGGGCUUUGCCAAGCCAAAUACACAUACUCUGAACACACAUUUCAGCUUGUUCUUUUGGGUAGUUUAUCCUCAGUUCUUUUUUUCACAGUCACAUGGCUCCUGAAGUCCAUAUUAAUUCUUUGCUCAGCAACUUGCAAACACACUGCUGUUGCAGCCUCUGGGCUCUGAAUGAUGUCCAGAUGAACCCACCGGGCAGCGUGGGAGGUGAACUAGAGAGGAGUGAGUCCCAGCUUGGCACCCAUGUAACACUGAGUCUGGAUUACAGACCAACCACUUAGCAAGGAUCCUUCAGGGGAGCUGCCUAACCUUUGUCAGCCUUCAUGGAGUGGUGGGAGUGGGACAAGCAGUAGCUCCACAGGAGCAUUUGGAUCUUGGCAAGAGCUGAUGUGUGGUAAGCACAGAAGAUGCUCAGCAGGGUAGGGACUUUUGUAGCCUUCUGUCUGGUGCCGGACACCAAACUGCUGGUUCCAGGCCUAUCACCCUCUCCCACAUUUCCCCAAGCCUCCAAAACACACAAGAGUGGAUGGAAAGGCCACUGCUCCAUGUUUGCUGUUCUCUCCUCUGUGGCAUAUUUCCAGGUCCCUGACAUCUUCUGCCUGGAUUAUUGCAAUGGCCUCCAAAGGACUUCCUCUGCCACUAGAGCACCCCUCAAAUCCAUUUCCUGCCUCCUUACCAAGGAAAUCUGUGUAAAGACCAUGCGUGCCCCACCCACACUCCUCAGAGACUCUCUACCAUCCAGAGCAGGGAUCAUGUCCUUGGAGCCCACAGAAGGCAGGAGGAAACAGGAAUGAGUCCCAGGACUCUGUGUAGGCAAUGGGGAGCAGUGGGGAUUAUGGUGGACCAGAGCAUAGCUGUCUAAAGGCAUUGAAACUCAGAAUUCUGCCCAAUCUUCCAUGGGCCAAGUAAAGUUUGUCCUGGCACUGAGCACAGCUUUGGAUUACCAGCGAGUGAGAGUUCACCUGGACUAUGAAGUCCAAGGUCUUCAGCUUGGCUUCCAAGGAUUCAUCUCCUCCUUGCUCUGCCCUACCUGACUUGAAAUUCAUACAACUGUAUAACUGCUCCACACCUACCAUGAGGGUCCUUAGCUCCUACCUUAUCAAGCCUAGAAUGCUCUUUCUCUACUCUUCACAGCUUAAAGCAAAAUCAUGCUUAUUGCUUUAGAACUCAGUUCGGGCAAUACCUCCUCCAGGAAGUCUUCUUUGCACUCACUCCUGUUUCUGCCAAAUGAGUUAUGCACCUUUCCCUGGUGCCCCAGCAAUAUGUGGCUUUUCUCCAUCAUUAUACUCAUCAAGUGUUACCAUAAGCAUCUCUUUUGCAUCUUCCUCUCCUGCUAAGGUGCAAACACCUAAGAUUAGGGAUCAAGUGUUAAUUGCCUUUGUGCCCAAUGAAAAGAAAAGGAGCUGUUCAGUUAUUUUUAAAUGGAUGAUGGGGAGGUAGAUGGCCCCCACGGCGGUGAGGAGUCUGAACAGUGGCACAAGGGAGGAACACAUUAGUAACAGGCAGAAAUUGGAAGACGCAUAGACCUGGUUAACCCUCUCUCCCUUCCCAGGCAUGAAUAUCACAAGAAUGGAUAGAGAACAAUAAAAGUAAUAGAACUGAAGAGCAAGAAUGCCACUAAAAACUGACUUUAUCUCUCAGCCACUAAAAACUGUCUCCUCUUAUUGCCCUUUCAAAUUCCCAAAAGAGAAUCUGAUUGUCCAGUUAAAUCAUUUUAGGGCUUAUGGGAUAGCUGCUCACACCAGACUAGCUCAAGAUGCCAGGAUGUUGGCCACUAUGGGCAGGGGUUCUUCUUUGAUCCAAUUGGGGCAGGAUCAUAUGCAACAAAAGAUGGCACCUUCCCAGCAUAGAAGCUCUCUGAAGAGACUCUGAGUGUGGCAGGGAGUUCUCUACCUGGGUGGUAGAGAGUUCCAGGCUGAGACUAGGAUGAGGUACCUAGGAUGCAAAAUUUCAGAAGGGAUCAUGCACAGUCAUGUAGGUGCCUCACUCACCUCACCCCACCCUAAUCCUAGUGCUGAUGGGGGCGGGGGCUGAUUUGCUGCAGGACUUCCAGGAAGUCCUGUCUGUCUGACCUUCAGUUUCCUCAUCUGUAACAUCAAGGAGUCAAACUAUUUGGCACAUGAGGUUCUUUUUGGUCUUGAAGCUCCUUUAUACUGCCCCAGCUUCUGGGAUAGCUCACUCCCUCCAUCUUACCCUCUGGACUCCCCCCCCCCUUCAUCCUAGAAGCCUCAGCAUCUCUUGAUUAGCUGCCCUGACCAAGCCUGGCUUGACUUCCAAGGACCCUGCUCAUAAGCCACUUAACAAAAGCAGUCAUGAAAGAAAACAUAACAUCUGUCAAGGGCCUUCAUGGAGGACGUGCCUCACAUUCCUGCUCUCAAAGCAAAAGCAAUCCACCUUGACCUAGGGCUAUACCAGGGAGAAGUAGCCUUCAGAGGGUAGGGUGCCAUUUGGUGCCCAGAUGUGGUCAUUUACCACAUGGCCAUUGGUAGCCCUGAGGAAUGAAAGCUAUUUUCCCUUCCUAUUAAUCACUCAAAAAAGUUAUGAACAUCUUGGGUUAAAUUGACAGUUUGCAUCUUGCAGACAAAGGGGCCUAAGGUUUGAUUCCCACUUGGUAAAAGUCCAGGUAGCUUUGUUCUUCUGAGGCUAAGCGAGAGGACCAACAGAGAUAGGAAGGGGAGAGAAUGAGGAGGAGGGGAGAGGAGGGAGAGGGUAUUAUUCAUCGAGUCCAAUCUCAGAGCCAGUGCUUGAACCCAAGCUAAGAGGGUUCCAUCAGUCAUCCUCCUCCAAAGCCUGUGCAUUGCACUGUUGGGCAGCCAAGAUUAUUAGAAAUAUCUUUCAUAGUGAUGAGCCAAAGCUUACUUCUUUGACAUAUCCAUAUAUUCAUCAGUAUGGAAGAUAAAGUCAUUUUUUUAUCUAAGUAGUUACUCUUAAAGCACAUGAAGACACAUUCUCCUUGAAUUUCUUAUUUUGCAUGCAAAAAAUAAAGAAAAAUCCCUAGUCCUUUCAGCCAAUCCUUGUAUAACAUUUUCUAGGCACCCUGUCCCCUCUGGCUCAUCCUGCCCACCUCCUCUGGAAUCACAGUAUACUGGUGACCUUCGCACAGUGCAGAGCCAGAAGCACACAUGGUUGUACAAGUGUGCAGAGCAGAUCCAUCAUCUCAACAAAGAGAUGCCAUUGGGCAAUGACGGAGCCAGGAAAGAGUGUAGUUCUGUGGAUUCCCAGGUACCUGGGGCAGACGGAGAAAUGCCAAUAAACCAGCAAGAGAGAGGAGUACCCUUUGCACCACAAAAAUUUUAUGCAUGGAAUUUACCAUGUAUGUACUACCCCUCUGGGCUCCCAUGGACCUUGCAUUUGUACAAAGCCAGCACACUCACAGAUGCAGAAUCCAGACUGAGCAACUAGAUGUAUCAUUUGCAGCAACAUGGAUGGACCUAGAGAUGAUUAUACUAAGUGGAAUAAGUCAGAGAAAGACAUAGGCUAUCACUUAUAUGUGGAAUCUAGAAAAUGAUACAAAUAAAUUUCUUUACAAAACAGAAACAGACUCACAGACUUAGACAACAAAUUUAUGGUUUACAAAGGGUAAAGGGAAGGAGGGACAAAUUAGAAGCUUGGGAUUAACAGAUACAUGCUACUAUAUAUAGAAUAGAUGAGCAACUGUGUAGCAUAGGGAACUAUAUUCAGUAUCUUAUAAUAAUUACAAUGUAAAUGAAUCUCAAAAAGAAUAAGUAUGUAUAUGUAUGUAACUGAAUCACUGUGUUGUAUACCAGAAACUAACACAACAUUGUAAAUCUACGGUACUUCAAUUAAAAAAACAAAAUG